GACGAACGCUGGCGGCGUGCCUAACACAUGCAAGUCGAACGACAAAGCAGUGCUUGCCUUGGGGCAAAGCAGGGAACGGGGGAGUAACACGUGGGUAACCCAUCCCCAUAACUUUGAGAACCCGUCGAAACACGGGCUAUAAUCGCAUGUGCUCACUGCACUUCGGUUGAGUGCGUUGGGGAAUCUUCGCCCUCCGGAUUGGGAGGGCCCCGUGGCCGAUUGGUUUGUUGGUGGGGUAAUGCCCCACCAAGACCGGGAUGGGUGCCUGGUGGGAGAGCAGGGUCAGCGACACUGGAACUGAGACACGGCCCAGGCUACUGCGGGAGGCAGCAGUGGGGAAUGUUGGGCAAUGGGCGGAAGCGUGACGCAGCGACGCCGCGCGGGAGAAGAAGGCCCUCGGGUUGGAAAGCCCUUUUAGGGGGGACGAAGGUUCGGCGGUUAAUACCCGGCGGGACUGACGGUACCUCCACAAGAAGCCCCGGCUAACUACGUG
rnacentral:rRNA from 1 species